GUGCUGGUUAUGAAACUAAACAAUGUGUACUUUCAGAAAAUCUAUUGUAAAUUUAACUUUCAGAAAAGUUUUUUUUUUUACAAUUUAC